AUAAAUGCUAUUGGUAUGCUUAACACAUGCAAGUUUAAUGUUUUUAUUUUAAAGACAUGGCAAACGGGUGCGUAACACGUGAAUAAUCUACCCUUUAAUUCAGCAUAAUUAUUUUUAAUAAAAAUUCUGAAUAAUACAUAAAGUUUUAAAAACGUUAAAGGAUGAGUUUGCGGAAGAUUAGGUAGUUGGUAGUGUAAGGGACUACCAAGCCAACGAUCUUUAGCUGAUUUGAAAGAAUGAUCAGCCACAUUGGGACUGAGACACGGCCCAAACUUUUUUAAAGGCAGCAGUGAGGAAUAUUGGACAAUGGGCGAAAGCCUGAUCCAGCAAUAUCAAGUGAGUGAAGAAGGCUAAUAGGUUGUAAAGCUCUUUCAUUAAGGAAGAAAAAAGACAGUACUUAAAAAAGAAGUUCCGGCUAAUUUCGU
rnacentral:rRNA from 1 species